UACGUAGGGGGCAAGCGUUGUCCGGAAUCAUUGGGCGUCAAGAGCGCGUCGGCGGUCCGGUAAGUCCGCUCUGAAAGUCCGGGGCUCAACCCCGGGAGGCGGGCGGAUACUGUCGGGCUAGAGUCCGGAAGAGGCGAGUGGAAUUCCUGGUGUAGCGGUGAAAUGCGCAGAUAUCAGGAGGAACACCAAUGGCGAAGGCAGCGCGCUGGGACGGUACUGACGCUGAGGCGCGAAAGCGUGGGGAGCAAACAGG
rnacentral:rRNA from 1 species